AAUUAGAAAGCGAAUAAUCGCACUUAGUUUCGACCUAAUCUUUAGGCCAAAGGCCUUCUAAUUA
rnacentral:tRNA from 1 species